AGAAAAACAACCUUUCUACCCUCUUCAUCAUGAUCAUCAUCUUGUACCAUCUUUUCUCCAUCUUGACAUCAACACCCCACCCGCCACUAUAAACCUCCACCUUCCUCUGUAGGAGGGCCUUUUCUUGAAUUGCCUUCCUUUCGUAUGCGCGUUGUUCAGAUUCAGCCUCCUCUUCUCGGCUUCCGCGGCGGCGCUCUCUCUCUCGGAGUCCAAGUAGUGCCUCGAAAUGUGUUGCUGGAUUUUGGAUUUCUAUUCAGAGGGAAACAAACUCAUUUGGAGUUGAAUUAGCACAAGGGAGGGAAACUGGGAAAAGGGAGGGAAACUGGGAAAUCGUCUUCAAGCUUCAGCUUGCUGCAAACACUUGACUGCCUUUGACUGCCUAUGCUUUCGAUAAUUGGAAGGGUACGGAUCAGUGGACCACUUUGUCUUCGAAGCGAAGCUCAUAUGAGUAUUUAAAUUAUCAUAUGGAGUCACUUAUUUAUAAAAUGAUCUAUCAGUUUUUAGCAUUUACUAAUUGACAAUGUUUCUGAUUUUGUAUUAGUAUCUUUUGCCUACAAACACAAAUGCAUAUUGUGUGCUUAACAUUUUCCUACAAACACAAAUGCAUAUUGUGUGCUUAACAUGGAAGUUUUUUAACUUCUAAUCACAAUCAUUCUAGAUUGCAGUUGCUCUGGCAGUUGAGCAA